AUUGAACGCUGGCGGCAUGCCUUACACAUGCAAGUCGAACGGUAACAGGCCGCAAAGUGCUGACGAGUGGCGAACGGGUGAGUAAUGCAUCGGAACGUGCCCAGUCGUGGGGGAUAACGCAGCGAAAGCUGCGCUAAUACCGCAUACGAUCUAUGGAUGAAAGCGGGGGACCGUAAGGCCUCGCGCGAUUACUCGGCCGAUGUCAGAUUAGGUAGUUGGUGGGGGAAAGGCCCACCAAGCCAACGAUCUGUAGCUGGUCUGAGAGGACGACCAGCCACACUGGGACUGAGACACGGCCCAGACUCCUACGGGAGGCAGCAGUGGGGAAUUUUGGACAAUGGGCGCAAGCCUGAUCCAGCAAUGCCGCGUGCAUGAAGAAGGCCUUCGGGUUGUAAACUGCUUUUGUACGGAACGAAACGGUUCUCUCUAAUACAGGGGGCUAAUGACGGUACCGUAAGAAUAAGCACCGGCUAACUACGUGCCAGCCGCCGCCGUAAGAC
rnacentral:rRNA from 1 species